UUGUCCUUCCAUUGUGUUUCCUUUUCAUUCUAGAUCGGUGCUCCUAUUGUUUCAUAAAGCACUCAGAGCUAUAAAAAUAUUUUACCCGGUAGUUGGAUAAUUUAUAAAGAUGAAACUAGCUUUUACCAAUGUUGGCAGCUUCUUUCUGUACAUUUGCUUCUGCUUUCUGCUGAUCGUCUGGAAGGACCUAUAUAACUAAAAAAUUAAUAAUAGUGUCCCACAUUCAGGAGACCCAAAAUGGUUGUACCUUGCAUCUUAGUAUCGUGCAUCUUCCGUCAGGAUUCUACGAUUCUACCUAUGUUCUGCCGGUGCAAUAUUUGGGAUACAGUAUACCUUCUUAAUCUGCGUAUGUCGUUGGGCUGCAAGUGAAUGGCCUGAUUAGUGAAACAAGCAUCGAUAUAGCCAAUGUUUUCUAAUUGAUACCACAAUAUGUCAAUGCUUGAAGCCAUUGACUAUAUCAAAGAGGUUAGAGCCCUUUUUCUCUUCUUCACGGAAAAUCAGAUGAGGAGAGUGGCAGCAGUCAGAGGUUGGAGCCCUCUCCAAUGCGUCGAUUGCUAUCCUGACCAUUUAUACAUACAGCCUGGUUUUUGCUUCUGUGGGUGAGCUUGGACCGGUUUGGUUUUCUGCUAAGGCCCUUUAUAUAAAUGAACAUAGUUCAUUCAUCCGCUACGAGGUCCACAGAGAAGAAGAGUGUGUAGCGAGGUUAUUCGUCAAAAGUAUUUACAAACCAUGGCACGUCUAAUUGUAAGCCCCUUGACCUGGCUAGGAUCACAGCCCCACAGAUCUUUUUCGUCGUACUCUGGUCUUUAUCGUAGCCUACCGGACAUAGGGCGUAUAAGUUGAGAUUUUAACAUGUGUGUGUGAUUGUAACCUCCGGAAUGAGCUUUUUUUAUCUUCUGCUAUUAAUAUAUCGAGAUCAUUCACAAACUGGUAAAUAUGCUUAUUUUCCUGCUAUAUUUACCAUGCCACCAGAAAUGUAUCAUUGUUCCUGCUAUGUGCUUUCACUGCCACUACCUCUCCAAGCUUGUGCUAUGUGCUCUGCUUCCUUUCUCCUUUCUCUUGAAAAAAUAAUAUCAUUGUUAUAUCUGCAAACAAAUAUACUUGGUUGAAAUUUCCUGCCAUCAAUGGGAUUAGUAGAUUUUAAUUCUAUUGUUCAUUCCACUGUUUUUCAUGCCUUUGUAGCUGAAGGGUUAGUGCGAGAACUUGGACUGAAUUCAAAUAUGUAGCAUACUUAUCUUCCUGAAACAAUAGCAGAGAAAAAUCAAACAAUACUCCGUUCGUUAAUAAUCAGUUGGACAAACAGUAUACUAAAUUUUACAUUUGCACGACUACUGGUUUAUGAUGCAAUAAGGGAUAUAUACGUCAGUUGUAGUAGAACAAACUACAAGGCGCAUGCUUGUUCAAAUGCUUCUCUCACAGAUUAACAUCUUUGUUUAUACUUGUUCAAGCAAUUACCCUGUAUUUGUACGAGUAGGCCAGAGUACAUAUCAGUAAAAGCAAUAUAAUAUUUAUGAGCCAGUUUUAGGUGUGGUAGCCAAAUAUCAGUAAAAGUAGCUGAUAUUUUGCAUGACCAUUUUAACCAUUACCUCAAAAUCUCAAAUGGAACCACUUCAUAGUUUGUUGUUAAUUACGAAGAUGAUAAUCUACUUUUAUACAAUGAUAAUCUAUUUUUAUGUAAAGAUGAUUAUAAAGGUUUCCAAAGCUGGGCACAGCCUGCCCUGCCAGGCACUAUGCUUGUCAGCGCCCUGGCCGCUCUGCCUAGCACCUUGGUCAUCUACUCUUGAGUUUUCCCAUGUGGUUCUGUUUGAAAACCAUACAGAUAGCAGACCUGUUAGUCACUACCUGUUUCAUUGCCAAGAAAUAAUGGCAUAUUCUGAUGGAACUUUCAUGUGCAAGUAUCAGCCAUGGGGUAUGAAGUACGAGGGUGACUAUGAAUCGGUGACUAUGUUGAUUGACACUUCUCCCGGACAAAUGGGUUAGGCAUGAGCCAUAAUGGAUACUUAAACAGUGAACUAGCGCCAGGAAACCUGUUGUGAAAUGGUGAUGGAUCAGCUUGUGAUCCCGCUGUCAUCUCCCUCCCUUGACCUGAUGGUGCUGGACCCUGCUGGUAUUCAUCUCAUCUUUAUGUUCUUGAGAUAAGUAGUGGUUUGCUAGCUAUAGAUGAGGGGGUAUGGAAGCUCGACCAAAAGCUCGAUUGAAGUGGCAAUGCUAAAGAAGCUUCAGUAGACCUUCCAUUUGAUGCUGGUUUCAAGGAAGGCAAGCAUAUGACUAGCACAAAAUGUAGAUGUUUCCUUUUCUGUGAAAAGAUUACUUCUGUAUUGCAGGAAGGUAAAAAUUCUUUGUUUGAACGUUUUUACCUUUGUAAUAUUUUGAAGUGUUUUAUUUUCUCCGUGUUCAAAAAGUGAGUACAUUUUCUAUCUGAUUUCAAGCAUGAUAAUGAGUCUUUCUUUCGUUGGGAAAACAGAACUAUCUGGUGCUCUGUUUUUGCUUCAAAGACUGGUAAGCAUAGUCAUGCUAAGUGAACUUUGUUGCCAUUGAUAUAUUCAUCCGAGCGUCGCGAAUCAACAACGGAGCAGGUCAUGGAAGAGAGGAAGGAGGCGUGGCAAUGUUGUGGCGAACGGUGCCAGUCAGCGAUGUAGCGCCAUCCACAGGCGACGACCAGGUCAAGCAUGUCGAUCCCCUCCCUUCUCCUCUCUCUCUCUCUCUCUCUCUCUCUCUCUCUCUCUCGUUGUGCACUGCCGUAGCUAAAAUGGUUCAUUUAGAGAAGGGAGUUUGACCAAGUUUUUAUUUUCCUUAAGUUUUUACAUUCUGUGAUUCUGAAUCAAAUGUUACACAUGUUAAUGCUUUUUCAUGGCCCAUGUUGUUAAGAAACAUAUUGUAUUGUUUCCUUUUUAUGAAAGCAAUGUUGUUUUCUGACUGUGAGGUUCUCCAUGCAUAUGGAUUGAUAAUAUUUUCAGUGUUCUGAAGUUUUCAUAUGAGGGUAGGCAGGUAUAGAUUAAUGUUAAGGCAUGAAAAUUAGGGAAAUCCUAAUCGGUGUAUUAGAAGUUUGCUCUUUGAAUUUUGAGCAUAUCUACAUGUUGCCAUUGAUUUUCUGUACUGGCAAUGUAUUUGGCUCAUAUGUGAUGAUAGAUUUCUUGCAAUGUACUGGCAUAGAUUAAGUUCGUGUAACUGUUAUUACAUUUUGUAUAUAAUAAUAAUAAUUAGCAAGUUACACUCAUGUUUAGGGUACUAGCAUUCAGAGUAAGAGUUAAUCUUGCGCUGUCGGUAUGGGUUACAGGAGUAUUCUGUAUUAACACAUUUGUAAAUGGGAAAAUUUGUUGCUUUAAAGCAUUUCUAAUAUUUUUGCAUUACUUUGCACCAUUGAUUCAUUGAUCAUGUCCUUAUUCACAUACUUUUUAGCAUAUGAAAAUUCACACUCCAAUGUAAUAUUAGUAAGUAGGCGAUCUGGUUGCCAUUAUGGACAUAAAUACUGGUAUUGCUUCUGCAGUUCAUUUUUUUAGCAAAAUGUGUGUGUUCAAUUUUUUUGUCAAGCUCUUAAAACAAUUUUAAUGGUCAAACUAUUUAGUGGGUUUUUUGUGAGUACAAGCAUGGGUGGAUCUAACUCCCAGUGACACCGAGCGGCUGCCCAGGCUGCUCUGGCAAGUUUUUCUUAAAUAGUAGUGUACUUUUUUCAGGAUGAUUAUAUGCUCUUCACUUCCCUGGAUGUAGUUUGAAGUGGCAAGGAACUUUUGAUUCGUGGCAGAUAGGAAAGUCUGGUAUAUUAAAUAGCCGUCGUAUGCAAUAUGUGGUAGAUACAAUUCAGGCAAAUCCCUCUUGAGUUGUUUCUCCUUAUAUAGCAUGAUACAACAAUUGUCGCCUUUUAUUCGCUUGCAAUAUGAGGUAUAAUCAUGUUGCUGUUUUGAGUACAAGAAAAUAAAGAUCCCAGGCACUGAAAACAUCUUUAUUUGUUGCUGAACUGGAUGGACACUUCUGAUGUUGUUUUGCAAUCAUGAUAUAUUCUGAAUUUCUAU